rnacentral:lncRNA from 1 species
GCGGACACAAUCUUUACCAUAGGACAUGGGGUUGUCAACUGAAACCAAAGAUUUUGACCUUGAACUUUGCCCUAGGCAGUCGUUCAUAAAUUAUGACACACCCUCUGGUGUUGGUUCAUAUACAUGUCAAGUAUAAACUUUGAAAUCAUAACGGUUCUCAAGAUAUAGAGCGGACACGAUCUUCACCACAGGACACAGGGUUGUCAACUGAAAUCAAAGUUUUUUUACCUUGACCUUUGACCUAGGAAGUUGUACAUACAUCAUGACACGCCCUCUGGUGGUGGUUAAUAAACAUGUAAAGUAUAAAGUAUGAAAUCAUAAUGGUUCUCUAGAUAUGGAGCGGACACAAAGUGUUACGGACGGACGGACGGAUGGACGGACGGACGGACGGACGGACGGACGGACGGACGGACGGACGGACGAACAGACUGAUCACUAUAGGGGACCCGCCUUUGGCGGGGCCCUAAUAAAAG